GACGAACGCUGGCGGCGUGCCUAACACAUGCAAGUCGAGCGAAUGAAGUUCCUUCGGGAACGGAUUUAGCGGCGGACGGGUGAGUAACACGUGGGCAACCUGCCUCAUAGAGGGGAAUAGCCUUCCGAAAGGGAGAUUAAUACCGCAUAAGAUUGUAGUACCGCAUGGUACAGCAAUUAAAGGAGCAAUCCGCUAUGAGAUGGGCCCGCGGCGCAUUAGCUAGUUGGGGAGGUAACGGCUCACCAAGGCGACGAGGCGUAGCCGAGCUGAGAGGGUGAUCGGGCACAUUGGGACUGAGACACGGCCCAGACUCCUACGGGAGGCAGCAGUGGGGAAUAUUGCAGAAUGGGGGAAACCCUGAUGCAGCAACGCCGCGUGGGUGAUGACGGCCUUCGGGUUGUAAAGCUCUGUCUUCAGGGACGAUAAUGACGGUACCUGAGGAGGAAGCAACGGCUAACUACGUGCCAGCAGCCGCUGUAAAAC
rnacentral:rRNA from 1 species